CCCAGUGUGGUGUAGUGGUUUGAACAUUGGACUAUGACUCUGGAGACCAGGGUUCGAAUCCCGGCUCAGCGC